AGUGAACGCUGGCGGCAGGCCUAACACAUGCAAGUCGAGCGGCAGCACGGCAAUAGCAAUAUUGUGGGUGGCGAGCGGCGGACGGGUGAGGAAUGCAUCGGGAUCUACCCUGUCGUGGGGGACAACGUAGGGAAACUUACGCUAAUACCGCAUGAUCUGGAGACAGCAAAGCCGGGGACCUUCGGGCCUGGCGCGAUGGGAUGAGCCGAUGUCCGAUUAGCUAGUUGGCGGGGUAAAGGCCCACCAAGGCGACGAUCGGUAGCUGGUCUGAGAGGACGACCAGCCACACUGGAACUGAGACACGGUCCAGACUCCUACGGGAGGCAGCAGUGGGGAAUAUUGGACAAUGGGGGCAACCCUGAUCCCAGCCAUGCCGCGUGU
rnacentral:rRNA from 1 species